AAUCUCAUAGCUCAGUUGGUUAGAGUGUGGUGCUGAGAACGCCAAAGUUGCAGGUUCAAUCCCGUAUGGAAUAG